rnacentral:snRNA from 1 species
AUACUUAGCUGGCAGGGUAAGUGCCAUGAUCACAAAGCUGGUUUUCCCAGGCCAGGAUUGUCCUUUGUGCUCCAGAUGUAUUGAACCCAAAUUCAAGAAAUUUGACUAUAUAAUUUGUGAUAGUUGAGGGAUUGAGUUUAAGCUCCCCCCAG